rnacentral:rRNA from 1 species
UACGUAGGGCGCAAGCGUUAUCCGGAAUUAUUGGGCGUAAAGAGCUCGUAGGCGGUUUGUCGCGUCUGCCGUGAAAGUCCGGGCUCAACUCCGGAUCUGCGGUGGGUACGGGCAGACUAGAGUGAUGUAGGGGAGACUGGAAUUCCUGGUGUAGCGGUGAAAUGCGCAGAUAUCGGGAGGAACACCAGUGGCGAAGGCGACUAUCUGGCUUUAACUGACGCUGAGGCGCGGAAGGCCGGGGGAGCAAGCAGG